rnacentral:rRNA from 1 species
UNACGCNGUACAACGAUGCAUACUGGCNGUAUGGGGUAUCGACCCCCUGUGCGGCGAAGCUNACGCGUUAAGUAUGCCGCCUGGGAAGUACGGCCGCAAGGCUAAAACUCAAAGGAAUUGACGGGGACCCGCACAAGCGGAGGAUGAUGUGGUUUAAUUUGACGAUACGCGGAGAACCUUACCGAGGCUUGACAUCCUAGGAAUNUUCUAGAAACAGAAGAGUGCCUUCGGGAGCCUAGUGACAGGUGCUGCAUGGCCGUCGUCAGCUCGUGUCGUGAGAUGUUGGGUUAAGUCCCGCAACGAGCGCAACCCUUGUCGUAUGUUGUAUUUUUCAUACGAGACUGCCCGGGCCAACCGGGAGGAAGGUGGGGAUGACGUAAGGUCAGCAUGGCCCUUACGCCUCGGGCUACACACGUCAUACAAUGGCCAGCACAACGCGUCGCGAACCCGCGAGGGGGAGCUAAUCGCACCAAAACUGGUCUCAGUUCGGAUUGAAGGCUGCAACUCGCCUCCAUGAAGUCGGAUUCGCUAGUAAACGUGGGUCAGCAUACCACGUUGAAUAUGUACCCGGGUUCUUGUACACACCGCCCGUCACGNNACGGAAGUCGCCAACACCCGAAGUGACCUACUUUGCUGGGCCCU